GCCCCUAUAGCUCAGCUGGUAGAGCAACUGAUUUGUAAUCAGUAGGUCGUGCGUUCGAGUCGUACUGGGGGCACCA
rnacentral:tRNA from 1 species